GGCCACUUCUUGCAGCAUCUGAAGCACAAAGGAGACUUGUGUGGAGCUAUCCAGCUGGGCACCUGCAUUGUGUAGGGUUUGUGUUUUGGAAUCCAAGGGCUCAGGGGCAGGAAGCAGGCUUGGGUUUUCCCCUCUCAUCCCUCGCAGUGGCUUCAGCAUCCCGACCUCCAGACAUCUCAGCAGCCCCUUCCAAGCAGGUGCCCUCGAUUUAAAUCCCUUUCCACGGAUGAUGGAGCAUUAAAUCUAGGAACCUGACGGAGCAGCACGGAGGAUGAUCCCGGUGUGUCCCAGGGGUGGUGACAGCCCCGGUUCGGCUGCCCCGGGUGGGUGAGACCCGCGGUCCAGGUUCUGGAGUCUGCCCAUAGGCUGGAAACGUGGCUGCCCAGUGAGCACUGGGAUUGUCUUGUCCCCCUGCUAACAGGGUUCCUUGAUGUUCCAGACCCCCCUCAGCCAUCACCUGCCUGCUGGAUAAACCCGAGGGUUUACCUGCGUGGUGGAAAAUGCUGAGGGUCUGCCAGGCCCUUGUCCCCAGUGGAGCUGGGACACAGAACCUGUCUGAGCAGAGCCUGGAGCUGGGAUGAGCCGCUCCCUGAGGGCUGCGGUGCCUCUUCCCCAGCUCCACCUCCGGAUCCCGACUCCUCCCCGAACCGGGAGCUCCCCCAAGUGGGAAGAACACGGAACCGGCCUUUCCCUGGAGUUCUCUGAGAAGAGUUUGGGAGGGAGGGAGUGCCUGGGGAUGAAAUGUUUUGAGAAUGAAUAAAUGGAAUCACU